UCAAAUGGAAGUAGAUGGUAUUUGGGA
rnacentral:sRNA from 1 species